ACGGCAGCUGUAAACUGAGGGAGAGGAGGGGAGAGAUAUGGUUUCGCUGAAGCUCCAAAAGCGGCUCGCCGCCAGCGUGCUCAAGUGCGGGAAGGGAAAGGUGUGGCUCGAUCCCAAUGAAGUCAAUGAAAUCUCAAUGGCCAACUCCCGCCAAAACAUAAGGAAGUUGGUUAAGGAUGGUUUCAUCAUCAGGAAGCCAACAAAGAUUCACUCCCGAUCUCGUGCACGCCGCAUGAAGGAAGCUAAGAGAAAAGGACGCCACUCGGGAUAUGGUAAGCGCAAAGGUACAAGAGAGGCUAGGUUGCCGACAAAAAUUCUCUGGAUGAGAAGGAUGCGUGUGCUCAGGCGUCUGCUCCGCAAGUACAGAGAGUCGAAGAAGAUUGACAAACACAUGUACCAUGAUAUGUACAUGAAGGUUAAAGGCAAUGUCUUUAAGAAUAAGCGAGUUCUUAUGGAAAGUAUUCACAAGUCAAAGGCUGAGAAAGCAAGAGAGAAGACUCUGUCUGACCAAUUUGAGGCUAAGAGGGCAAAGAACAAGGCAAGCAGGGAAAGAAAAAUUGCUAGGAGGGAGGAGCGAUUGGCCCAAGUAUAGUCUAAACUAUUUUUAUCCAUGGUUUAAUAUCGCUGAGGAUCAGACUCAGUUAUUUUAAUUCCAAUUAUGGGUUUCUGAUAUUGUUGUGUUUUAAAUUCUGUGCAGGGCCCAGGUGGUGGAGAAAAACCUAUAGCUGCACAACCUGCUGCUGCAUCUCAAUCAUUCGAGGUAUCUAAGAAAUCCAAGAAGUGAGGACCCAAAUUAAGAGCUCUAGAGAUCCUCUUAUUGUGGCAAAGUAGUUUUGUUGAGCCAGUGUGGUUUUUUGUUGACUUGGACCAUGUUAUUUUAUGUCAUAGAUGUUAGAAGUUUAACAUAUUGACACUAUGUAGCAUUAGCUUUUGAUUAUUUGUUCCUCUGUGCUUUUCGCCUUGCCUAUAUUUUGAUAUCUUUAUAGUUUAUAUUCAAAAUUUUCAUUUUCCUGGUCAGUAGCGGUUGUCCUUUAUCUAGUUAUCCAUCCUCCUAACCAUGUCAUAUAUUUCUUUUAUCUUGUUUGGCAAUUCAUAUGUUGGAUGGGGCGUUGGUCGGUGUGCAGAGCAUAUGUAGGUAGAGGGGGCCGGGCAAUGGGCAUCGCAUCUCUACCUGUGAAAGAGGAAAGAGAGGGCUUGAAGGCGGGUUGGAGGAUUCUAAACACGCUCAUGACUUGGCCGUAGGCUGCGAGAUUGCGACUGCGUUGAGAUCUCGUUUAACAUAACAAACACUGAGGCCUGGACAAGAACCAAGCAAAAAUUUAAUUGCGGCGUUUGCUUUCCAUGGAAUUGCUGAUGUUCGUGAGGAUGUUCUUCACAUUGCUAACCGGAUUCGCAAACUCGAUUAAAAUCUUCAAGUAGCACCAAGGAUUCUCCUACUUUACGUAGUUCGAGAAUAAGAUACAGGAGCAAUUGUCCUAGUUUCAGAAUUUUUAACUUUGCGCCAUCCCACUAGUCACUAGUAAAAAGGGGCUUGUAGUGGAGGAUGAUACUGUUGCAGUAGUUAGUACAAGCCUUCAGCAGCAAGCUUUACUGUUACGGUACGACUCUUCCAAACGAGUAGGUGUCAAGUCAGUAAGGAUACUCGUUGAGAUACAAGAAAAAAAGUAAAAAUCAUAAGCAGAAUACACCAUAAGCCCUAUAGAAACAUAAUCAUGAACUUCAAGCUCAUGACCUUUCACAUUAUUAAUUAACACUAUAUCAUAAUCAAGUACAACAGCAAAUUCUUCUGUAGGAUGUUUAUUUACUUGCAUAUGCUAUUCUUAGUUUGCAUAUUAAAUACCUAGCCUUAACUGUAUUAGCAGAGGAUAUGACAGGGUUCGGACUGUAUUCAUCAGUCCUCAUCACCAGUUUCAGCUCCGAAAUGUAUAACAAAGAAAAAUGAUGUAGGUAUCAUUCUCAUAAUGCCAACACAUUUGCUUGUAUUGGUAUUUAAAGACUUCUCUGGUACCGCGGAUUAGGAAAAGCCACCCAGUCAUGAUCCCUGAAUGAUGGUUUACGUCCACUAAAAUCUGCACUUCCAUGGUUUGGUCGAUCCCUAGAUGCAACUUGUUGCAUGGAUGAAUCACAAGGAUUGUUGCAAAGCCCAAGUUUGACAAUGAAUGUCGCGUUGGUACCUUUGUCAAGGCCUUCGCUCUCAAUCCAUAUAUGGCCUCCCAUUAGAUCUACAAACCUUCUACAGAUGGCAAGUCCAAGUCCUGCACCACCAUUAUUUCGGCUCGAUCCACUACGAUGCUGAGAGAAUUUAGUAAAGAGGAGUGGGAUAUCUUGGGGGAGAACACCACAGCCAGAAUCCUUAACCUAUGACAAACAACAUCAUAGGGUGAAUAACAAACCAGACCAAAUUCCAAAGAAAUGCUAUAACAGCAAAGCAAUGCAUUUUCCAAAAACUUGAGAUAUAAAUGCCGACAACAACAUAAGUUAACCAUGAUGAGAGAAUAAUGACAUAAAAGAAAAACUAGAGCCCAAAUGACUGCCACAAAACAAAUAGCAACUACAGCAUGCCAAGGAAUGCCAAAAAGCAAAUUCUAAGAUUGUGAGAGAAGAAAACUAAACUCAACAAUAUGAGCAUCAUUCAAAUGCAUUGAUCAAAAACCUGUACUCGUAGGUAGAAGUGGCCAUCACUUGUAAUUGGGUAAAAUUCAGGAGGUCGCCAGUCUCUUAAAGAAUCUGGUUUUGCAACAGAAGCUAUAACUGUAACAUAGCCCUGCUUUGUGAACUUGACAGCAUUACCUACUACAUUUAAAAUAGUUUGCAUAAGACGUUUCUCAUCACCAAUGGCAUAUUCUGGCAAAUCUGGAGCUAAAUUUAAAGUAACAGGCAACUUUUUAACAGAUGCAAUAGGCUUGAUCAAGUUAAG
rnacentral:misc_RNA from 1 species